rnacentral:rRNA from 1 species
GAUGAGCGCUGGCGGCGCGCCUAAUACAUGCAAGUCGAGCGAACAGACGAGGAGCUUGCUCCUCUGACGUUAGCGGCGGACGGGUGAGUAACACGUGGAUAACCUACCUAUAAGACUGGGAUAACUUCGGGAAACCGGAGCUAAUACCGGAUAAUAUAUUGAACCGCAUGGUUCAAUAGUGAAAGACGGUUUUGCUGUCACUUAUAGAUGGAUCCGCGCCGCAUUAGCUAGUUGGUAAGGUAACGGCUUACCAAGGCAACGAUGCGUAGCCGACCUGAGAGGGUGAUCGGCCACACUGGAACUGAGACACGGUCCAGACUCCUACGGGAGGCAGCAGUAGGGAAUCUUCCGCAAUGGGCGAAAGCCUGACGGAGCAACGCCGCGUGAGUGAUGAAGGUCUUCGGAUCGUAAAACUCUGUUAUUAGGGAAGAACAAAUGUGUAAGUAACUAUGCACGUCUUGACGGUACCUAAUCAGAAAGCCACGGCUAACUACGUG